UACGUAGGGUGCGAGCGUUAAUCGGAUUUAUUGGGCGUAAAGGGUCCGUAGGCGGACCGGAAAGCCUGAUGUGAAAUCCCACAGCUCAACUGUGGAACUGCAUUGGAAACUUCCGGACUAGAGUAUGAGAGGGGUUAAGGGAAUUCCCGGUGUAAGGGUGAAAUCUGCAGAGAUCGGGAGGAACACCAGUCGCGAAGGCGCUUAACUGGCUCAUUACUGACGCUCAGGGACGAAAGCUAGGGUAGCAAACGGG
rnacentral:rRNA from 1 species